rnacentral:rRNA from 1 species
UACGGAGGGGGCUAGCGUUGUCCGAAGUUACUGGGCGUAAAGCGCGCGUAGGCGGGUUGGUAAGUCCGCUGUGAAAGCCCGGAGCUUAACUCCGGAGGGUCGGUGGAUACUGCCAGUCUUGAAGGUGCUAGGGGGAGAUGGAAUUACCGGUGUAGCGGUGAAAUACGUAGAUAUCGGUAGGAACACCAGUGGCGAAGGCGGUCUCCUGGGGCAUUCUUGACGCUGAGGCGCGAAAGCUGGGGGAGCAAACGGG